GGAUUGUGGCUUAGCGGUAAAACACUUGCCUAGCGUGUGCAAGGCCCUGGGUUCGAUCCUCAGCACCA
rnacentral:tRNA from 1 species